rnacentral:snRNA from 1 species
GUGCUCGCUUCGGCAGCACAUAUACUAAAAUUGGAACGAUACAGAGAUUAGCAUGGCCCCUGAGCAAGGAUGACAUGCAAAUUCGUGAAGCAUUCCAUAUUUUU